AAUUCAGCUGAUUUUUAGUCGACAAAUAUGUUUACAUCCCUGGUUCUGUGCUCUUAAGUUCCGUGGUAGAUUGCCUACUUAUUCUCAUGAAAACGUUCUAUCAUGCUUCUAUUAUGUGGGGAAAAAGGGGGAGUGUUACCUCUCCACUGGCUGUGGCUUCUUGUGAUCUCUGUCUAGCUAGCUUCUCGGCUCCAACUCCCUCUCACUUGGCUCACUGUAUGCGAUUGUCUUUGUGUUGGUGAGGGAGGGAGGGCUGAGGCCUAUUUAUGCUUGUGGUCUAACUGAAAGCCUGAAAAAAGGGCCUGUUAUCUCUGAUUGGGGAACAGUCUUUGAUGGACUGGUUUUGCUAUUAACUCUGCAGCAUUUUAACUGUUUUUGGCUUCAUGUGGGUGCCUAGUACUUGGUGUAUUUAUGGAGUGUUGUCUCAUUUGGCAGGAGUAUAAGGGAUGGCAGGAGUUUGCCACUGAUUCCCCUGCUGUGGUCGUUGAACAACCAAGCUGGAAGGGCAAGCCAUUUCUGGUGGUAGCAGCCUUCAUUCUUACCUAUUUUGUUCGGUUGGUGCUCGGCAGAGAAAUAUGGAUGCUAAGUGUGGUUCUCACCUUGGUGUCCCAGUUCGUCUGGCCGCUUGAGCUGGGCUGAGACCGGGCCUGACACGUGUCCUAUGACUCGAAUUGUAAUAGCGUAGCCCCACGUGUAAACUUUCUUUAACAUGUAAAAUAGUUAGUUGAGUUGUGUA